ensembl:snRNA U2 U2 spliceosomal RNA
UUACCUGUGCAGCUUACAGACCAGCUGUAGCUGUCACAGUAUCUGAUCAUAAAAAUUUAAUAUCCAAUAUGCCCUUGAUGAGAGGAUUUUAUAUUAAACAGAUUUUGGGGCAUGGGAGUUGGAGCUGGAUCUUGCUCUCUCUGCUUCGUGCAUUGCCCCAGUAUUGCAGCAGCUCUGGGAAUGGUGCACUGAUA